GACGAACGCUGGCGGCGUGCUUAACACAUGCAAGUCGAACGGAAAGGCCCUGCUUUUGUGGGGUGCUCGAGUGGCGAACGGGUGAGUAACACGUGAGUAACCUGCCCUUGACUUUGGGAUAACUUCAGGAAACUGGGGCUAAUACCGGAUAGGAGCUCCUGCUGCAUGGUGGGGGGUGGAAAGUUUCGGCGGUUGGGGAUGGACUCGCGGCUUAUCAGCUUGUUGGUGGGGUAGUGGCUUACCAAGGCGUUGACGGGUAGCCGGCCUGAGAGGGUGACCGGCCACAUUGGGACUGAGAUACGGCCCAGACUCCUACGGGAGGCAGCAGUGGGGAAUAUUGCACCAUGGGCGGAAGCCGGAUGCAGCAACGCCGCGUGCGGGAUGACGGCCUUCGGGUUGUAAACCGCUUUCGCCUGUGACGAAGCGUGAGUGACGGUAAUGGGUAAAGAAGCACCGGCUAACUACGUG
rnacentral:rRNA from 1 species